rnacentral:rRNA from 1 species
AUUGGAGUCUGCAACUCGACUCCAUGAAGUCGGAAUCGCUAGUAAUCGUGGAUCAGAAUGCCACGGUGAAUACGUUCCCGGGCCUUGUACACACCGCCCGUCACACCAUGGGAGUGGGUUGCAAAAGAAGUAGGUAGCUUAACCUUCGGGAGGGCGCUUACCACUUUGUGAUUCAUGACUGGGGUGAAGUCGUAACAAGGUAACCGUAGGGGAACCUGCGGUUGGAUCACCUCCUUACCUGAAAGAAGC